rnacentral:tRNA from 1 species
UAUUUAUAUAGUUUAAAAAACAUUACAUUUUCACUGUAAAAAUAGAAAUUUUUCUUAUAAAU